rfam:TPA: Bos taurus chromosome 9, whole genome shotgun sequence.
UCCUUGGUGGUUCAGUGGCUAGUACUCUGCACUCCCAAAGCUGGAGGCCCAGGUUCAAUCCCUGAUCAGGGAA